rnacentral:rRNA from 1 species
AUAAGAGUAAUUUAACACAUUUUUAGUUAUUUAAAAGGAGCAAUUGCUUUCACUGUGAGAUGGACCUGCGUUGUAUUAGCUAGUUGGUGAGGUAAAGGCUCACCAAGGCGACGAUACAAAGCCGACCUGAGAGGGUGAUCGGCCACACUGGGACUGAGACACGGCCCAGACUCCUACGGGAGGCAGCAGUAGGGAAUCUUCGGCAAUGGACGGAAGUCUGACCGAGCAACGCCGCGUGAGUGAAGAAGGUUUUCGGAUCGUAAAGCUCUGUUGUUAGAGAAGAACGUUGGUAGGAGUGGAAAAUCUACCAAGUGACGGUAACUAACCAGAAAGGGACGGCUAACUACGUGCCAGCAGCCGCGGUAAUACGUAGGUCCCGAGCGUUGUCCGGAUUUAUUGGGCGUAAAGCGAGCGCAGGCGGUUCUUUAAGUCUGAAGUUAAAGGCAGUGGCUUAACCAUUGUACGCUUUGGAAACUGGAGGACUUGAGUGCAGAAGGGGAGAGUGGAAUUCCAUGUGUAGCGGUGAAAUGCGUAGAUAUAUGGAGGAACACCGGUGGCGAAAGCGGCUCUCUGGUCUGUAACUGACGCUGAGGCUCGAAAGCGUGGGGAGCAAACAGGAUUAGAUACCCUGGUAGUUCACGCCGUAAACGAUGAGUCCUAGGUGUUAGGGCCUUUCCAGGG